AGCGGGAUAGAGAAAUGGUAUCUCGUAAGGCUCAUAACCUUAAGAACUUGGUUCGAUUCCAAGUCCCGCAA
rnacentral:tRNA from 1 species